rnacentral:rRNA from 1 species
UACGAAGGGAGCUAGCGUUGUUCGGAAUCACUGGGCGUAAAGCGCACGUAGGCGGACGUGUCAGUCAGGGGUGAAAUCCCGGAGCUCAACUUCGGAACUGCCUUUGAUACAGCACGUCUUGAGUCCGGAAGAGGUGGGUGGAAUUCCUAGUGUAGAGGUGAAAUUCGUAGAUAUUGGGAGGAACACCGGUGGCGAAGGCGGCCCCCUGGACCGGUACUGACGCUGAUGCGCGAAAGCGUGGGUAGCAAACGGG